GUUCUGGGGACGGGGGCUGGUGAGGCUCACGUUGGAGGGCUUCGCGUCUGCUUCGGAGACCGUAAGGGAAGGGAGUGAACAGGCACCACUAAUGAGCGAAGAUGAACUGAUUAACAUAAUAGAUGGUGUUUUGAGAGAUGAUGACAAGAACAAUGAUGGAUACAUUGACUAUGCUGAAUUUGCAAAAUCACUGCAGUAGAUGUUAUUUGGCCAUCUCCUGGUUAUAUACAAAUGUGACCCGUGAUAAUGUGAUUGAACACUUUAGUAAUGCAAAAUAACUCAUUUCCAACUACUGCUGCAGCAUUUUGGUAAAAACCUGUAGCGAUUCGUUAUACUGGGGUGAGAAGAGAUAAGAGAAAUGAAAGAGAAGAGAAAUGGGACAUCUAAUAGUCCCUAAGUGCUAUUAAAUACCUUAUUGGACAAGGGCUUGCUUAAAGCAUCUGUAUUAGUCUGUUUUGAUGCUGCUGAUAAAGACAUACCCGAGACUGGGAAGAAAAAGAGGUUUACUCCACGUGGCUGGGGAGGCCUCAGAAUCAUGGCGGGAGGUGAAAGCCACUUCUUACAUGGCAGCAAGAGAAAAUGAGGAAGAAGCAAAAGCAGAAACCCCUGAUAAACCAUCAGAUCUUGUGAAACUUAUUCACUAUCACGAGAAUAGCAUGGGAAAGACUGGCCCCCAUGAUUCAGUUACCUCCCCUUGGGUCCCUCCCACAACACGUGGGAAUUCUGGUAGAUACAAUUUCAAGUUGAGAUUUGGGUGGAGACACAGCCAAACCAUAUCAUUCUACCCCUGGCCC
rnacentral:sRNA from 1 species